UCACCUGGGAUCCUGUUAAAAUAAAGGUUUUGAUCCUGGGGGCCUCAGAGUCUGCAUUUCUGACAAGUUCCCAGGUGAUGCCA
rnacentral:miRNA from 10 species